CAGAUCCUUAAAAUGCCUGGACAGAUGGAUUCACGAACCUUCCAUGGCAAAACCACCGGACCAAAAAGAAAGCGGGUUGUAUCAGCAGCAAAGGCCGUCUCGAAAGUCGCGUUCGUGAAAAACAAAUCUGGCGCCAGAUGUGAUAAAGAGACGGAUACAGUGGAAGGGCUGCUGAGGCGGAGCAUGGAAGCACAUCGACAAGCUACGAAGCAGAUGAUGGAAGAGAUGCUGAUUCGGACCUUGGAAGAACAUCGAGAAGCUACGAAGCAGAUGAUGGAAGAGAUGCUGAUUCGGACCUUGGAAGAACAUCGAGAAGCUACGAAGCAGAUGAUGGAAGAGAUGCUGAUUCGGACCUUGGAAGAACAUCGAGAAGCUACGAAGCAGAUUAUACAGGAGCAGUUUUCAAGGUUUAGAGAGUGCACCUGUGACCAGCGCCAGAGCAGGAGGCAACCAUCCUCAGGAUGA
rnacentral:lncRNA from 1 species